UGCGGCAGUGGCUUAUAUGGGGGAGGCACGGAGGAGGAGCGGGGGAUCUGGCGGCCACCGGCGUCCAGAGGCGCGCUGCAAUGGUGCUCCACUUCAACGACAUCCCUCUACAUGGCGAGGUGUCGUUACCAUUGCAGUCAAUGGGAGAAGUUACAAGUGAUAUCCGGCGAGCAAAUUUGAUAGUUAGUCCUCGCCUGAUUGGGUCCAUUCCUCUGGCAGAACUGACCAGCCCCAAUUAGGCCAUUAUUCGUCAGAGUAUUGUUGGACUUGAUCUAGCACCAGUGCGGACUAAAUUUGGUGGAAAUUCUGAGACUUAAAAUGUUGCAGACCUGAUCCAUGGACUUAAUUAGUAGUAGUUUUCCAAGUUAAGGUCACAGUACACUGACGAAACCAAGCCAUCAGCCAUGCUGCAUGCACGAGCUUUGUACACACACACCACACGUAGUUUUCAACUUUCAGGAGCUCAGCAGUUGGCGCUGCGGAGAAUCGAUAGCCAUCCUGCUAUUUUGUACAUCUUGAAAAAUCGAAGGAUGUAACAAAUAGUAGUUUUCCCAGGUUCUGUUAGUAACUUUUGGAACUGGAUGUACUUUCGAACAUUAUUUUACAUCUAGAAUGAUGAAACAUUCAAGUUGUGUUUUCACCAAAUCUAGAUGAAACUUAUGCAUGUCGGUGUAUCUUUUAUCUUUUUUCUGCAUCCAGAAAUUUGAAUGGAUCAAGUAAAACACUC